AUGACAUCCCCUCCUUCUGUUGUAUUGACUGCACCACUCAGCCUGGUGUCAUCUGCAGACUUGCUGAGUGUGCACUACAUCUCAAUGUUUGUGUCAUUAAUAAAAGUAUUAAACAGCACCGGUCCCAAUACAGGUCCCUGAGGGACAUCACUCACCACCGGCCCCCACCUGGCCAUAGAGCCAUUGACUGCAGCUCCCUGGCUACAGCCAUUCAGACAAUUCCUAAUCUACAGAAUAUUAUCCGCUUCAAAUCCAUCUAGCUCCAAUUUAGAGACCAAGACGUCACGUGGGACCAUGUCAGAAGUGUUACAGAAGUCCAGUAAUGAGACGCCGGCAGCCUGUACUUCAAAGCCUGCACUGAUACAGAUAAUCUCGUGAAAGGCUCUCUGCAUUUCCAGCCAGCUUGUAUUGGGGAUUACAGCAACAACGGGAGGAGAUGAUGGAAGAGGAGGGAUGGAAGCACUGACUGCAGGAUGCUGAGAAAAAACAGAGAAGAAGCAAGAGCAGAAAAGUGAUUGUACUGGAUAAAUUUAGUCACUCUGAAAGCAUCAUCCAAGAAGCUUUAAUCAAAUGGGAAUGCUACAUUCCAGAGAGUUAAAUGUAAAAAUAUAAUUAGGCUAAAAAAUAGUUAGGCCUAACAGGACAACUUCCUGAAGGAAUCAAAACCACUUCUGAACACUGUUUCAAAACACCAGGAUCAAAAUAUCUGGCAGAAGUCUGUAGGGCUAUCUGAUGCUCUGGGGCUAAAAACAAUGCUCAGGGAGGAAAGACUGCAGAGACAGUAGCUGAGUUCUUGGUACCCACAGUCACUAGUAGCAGAAACUGGGAAAUUCCCAUACAGGAGCCUUCUUGGAAGAGGACUUGGCCAGAGGGUCUCCAAAAUUCUGGGACUUGCAUGGAAGAAGCCACGAUAGAUAUGAUCUACUUGGAAAAAGAUGGCAUGAUGUCUGGAAAUCCUGCCUUUCCAAUCUCUAUAAGCUCUUGAAAUGAGCAACCUGUUGGUAAAGGUUAUCCAGUUACCUCCCCACAGACUUCUGGGGAACCUAAGAAGCCAAGGGAAUGGAGAAAGUCCUGGCACAGAGACUUGGCUGAAAGGAGCAGAAGAAAUGGUCAGUUCACUCAGUGGAGUUACUGAUGGAAAUUUCAGUGGUCUGCACUGAAGUCUGUUCCAUUCAGAAUGCUCAUAAAUAACACAGAAGGGCCAUGAGCAGUGAGGGACAAAGGUCACUCAUGACACAGAGUUGUCUGAAGUAGUAAAGGCAGGCUGUGACAAAUUGUAAAGGGAUCUUGUGAGACCAAAUGAAACGGCAGGUAAAGUUUAGCAUAAAGAUAAAGCAAUAACAUGCCAUGAAAUCCAACCAUAGUUUCACACAUCAAAUUUUGGUCCUUGAGCUGACCAUUUCCUAUUAAGAAGCAAGGUUUGGGGAUUAAACAAUUCCAUAAAUACACAAGUACAACACUCAUCAGCCAUUGCCAAAAAGAAACCGUACCACUAUUGUAAUGUUUCAUCCAUACCAUUGAAUUCAAGAAUUUUCAGCUGAAGACAUCAACAGUAAACAAAGAUUUGGACCAACUUCCAUACAAGGAACACCCAAAUAAAGCAGAGAUCUUUAGGCCAAAGCAAACAAACAAACAAACAAACAAAAAAAUCAAGAGUGAGAUUGAAAUGGAGGACAGGACUCACUGUCUCAUCUGCUAGACAAACUAGAAGUCACUAAAUGAAGCUGGUAGUAAACGGGUUCAAAGCAAAAGACCUGAGUUUCUUGAUAUUGGACAGCAGAGCUGUGGAUCUGCUUGCAGAAUAAUGCAUAAAACAGAGUUUUCAAAGGUUCAAGGGAACGCUGGUCAAGUGCUUGGAAGGAAAUCCAUUGCAAGUCACUUGACAAAUCACAAUGGGUUCAGAAAAUCAUCUGACUAAUAAGAGGUGGAAAGUGGAUUAGCGGGAAGUGCAAUACUUGCUUGUCUCAUUCUUCUCCUUUCUUAGCCAUUUGUGGCUGCUGUUGGAGACAAAAUAGCUGGCUAGGGAGACACAAUGUGCCCUUGGACAUGGUGUGUCCUACCACGGCUGUUCCCAACUCUCUGUUCUCUUGAGUAAUUACUUUUUCUCCCCUAGUCAGAAUUUAGCACUUCUGAUGAGAUCCCUGCUCCUUCUGUAGUUUGACCUUUGAUGUUUCUAAAUUUAAAAACCCUUUGAAAAUAAAUUAUCUAUCACUACACCCAUUUUACAGAGGAGAAGGUGAGCCCAAAGACAUCCCAAAGUCACACUGUCUGCAUGGGGAGGAGAGCCUAGUGCCUCUGCACCUCUCUUGCACCGCAGACCAGGCUGCCUUUGAGCUCCUUGUUUGUGUGGUCCUCGGGGUUUUAAGAGGAGGAGUGAAACCACAAGUAGGAUUAACAACUGUGAUCCUACCGGAGCUCAGAGAAGACCAAGAGGAUAGAGGGACAAGGUGGAAAUAAGGAGAUGGUUCCUCACAUGGAAGCAUGAAAACACAUAGCUGAUACCAAGCAGCUGGGUUACUGCAUCUGUCUUACACCACAUACUUGUGGCGAAGCUAACAUUUAAGACACGGCAUGUCUGGAGCUGUACCUCACAAACUGGCCAUGGAUUUUGAAACAAUGGUAUGAGAUAAUUGCGGCUCAUGAAGCCAUAUGUGAGGGCACUGGAACAAAGACUAGACAUAUCCAGUAAUUACGAGAGACAGAAGGGCACAUGUGUUCCCAGAGAGACUGCAGGUCUGCCCUGAGAGUCAGCAAAAAGAUUCAAGUGGGGCUUAGCUGGGAAGCGGGCAGAGGCUGACUGCUUGGGAGGAAAGCUGCCUGGGGCAAGCCAUGGCAAUGUCUUACAAGGGACAACAGCUGGCUCUGCUCUGCAGGGAACUGGGACACUCAAGGAUCACCUGCUUCACUGGGUGGGUCAAACGCUGUGAUGGAGGAAAGGAGGUCUCUGAGGGAAGAGAUUUUGAAGCAGUUACUUUAGUGUUGAUACCUAAGUAAAUGUAUUGAUGGGAUUAGCCACGUGAAAUAAAAUAGGGGAAAAGUAGAAAGAGAGAGAGAGAGAGAGAAAGAAAUCCUUUAGGAGUAGUAAUCUCAAAAAAAGUACAAGAAAAAAAGAAAAGCCAUAGACAAGACAGAACCAUACAGAAAAAAGGGGGGGGGAGGGGGAGAGAAAACAACAAACAAACAAAUAAACAAAACAAAUAAAGAAAACCAAACAAAAAAAAACACUAGAGACAGCAGAAAGCAAUAGGUUCUAGGAAUUAAAAGGUGAACUAUAGUCCUUGGAGUGAAUCAUGGACAUAAAUGCAAAAGUGAGAUAUGCAGCUGAGAACUAAUUGUGUUUGAUUUCAGUGAGACGUUAUGGACACAUCUGCUCUAUCUUAUACCCAGCUAUAUAUUAACUCAUCUGUACUCCAGGCUUAUUCCUCCAUGCACAAGACGCUGCAUGUAUCCCUGCCCCAACCACUUUCCAUUGGUCACACAAGCACAAACACAACCCAACAACUCCCCUCCCAAGGAGAGCUGCAGAUCCCACUUCAGAAAGUGUGGUGGGGUCAGCUGUUGCAUUCA